GCAACUCGCCUACACGAAGCUGGAAUCGCUAGUAAUCGCGGAUCAGCACGCCGCGGUGAAUACGUUCCCGGGCCUUGUACACACCGCCCGUCACACCAUGAGAGUCUGUAACGCCCAAAGUCGGUGGCCUAACCUUUAUGGAGGGAGCCGCCUAAGGCGGGACAGAUGACUGGGGUGAAGUCGUAACAAGGUAAC
rnacentral:rRNA from 1 species